rnacentral:rRNA from 1 species
CCUACGGGAGGCAGCAGUGGGGAAUCUUGGACAAUGGGGGCAACCCUGAUCCAGCCAUGCCGCGUGAGUGAUGAAGGCCUUAGGGUCGUAAAGCUCUUUCGCCUGUGAUGAUAAUGACAGUAGCAGGUAAAGAAACCCCGGCUAACUCCGUGCCAGCAGCCGCGGUAAUACGGAGGGGGUUAGCGUUGUUCGGAAUUACUGGGCGUAAAGCGCGCGUAGGCGGAUUAGUCAGUUAGAGGUGAAAUCCCAGGGCUCAACCCUGGAACUGCCUUUAAUACUGCUAGUCUUGAGUUCGAGAGAGGUAAGUGGAAUUCCGAGUGUAGAGGUGAAAUUCGUAGAUAUUCGGAGGAACACCAGUGGCGAAGGCGGCUCACUGGCUCGAUACUGACGCUGAGGUGCGAAAGUGUGGGGAGCAAACAGGAUUAGAUACCCUGGUAGUCCACACCGUAAGCGAUGAAUGCCAGUCGUCGGCAAGCAUGCUUGUCGGUGACACACCUAACGGAUUAAGCAUUCCGCCUGGGGAGUACGGUCGCAAGAUUAAAACUCAAAGGAAUUGACGG